rnacentral:rRNA from 1 species
GAUGAACGCUGGCGGCGUGCCUAAUACAUGCAAGUCGAGCGAACGGACGAGAAGCUUGCUUCUCUGAUGUUAGCGGCGGACGGGUGAGUAACACGUGGAUAACCUACCUAUAAGACUGGGAUAACUUCGGGAAACCGGAGCUAAUACCGGAUAAUAUUUUGAACCGCAUGGUUCAAAAGUGAAAGACGGUCUUGCUGUCACUUAUAGAUGGAUCCGCGCUGCAUUAGCUAGUUGGUAAGGUAACGGCUUACCAAGGCAACGACGCAUAGCCGACCUGAGAGGGUGAUCGGCCACACUGGAACUGAGACACGGUCCAGACUCCUACGGGAGGCAGCAGUAGGGAAUCUUCCGCAAUGGGCGAAAGCCAGACGGAGCAACGCCGCGUGAGUGAUGAAGGUCUUCGGAUCGUAAAACUCUGUUAUUAGGGAAGAACAUAUGUGUAAGUAACUGUGCACAUCUUGACGGUACCUAAUCAGAAAGCCACGGCUAACUACGUGCCAGCAGCCGCGGUAAUACGUAGGUGGCAAGCGUUAUCCGGAAUUAUUGGGCGUAAAGCGCGCGUAGGCGGUUUUUUAAGUCUGAUGUGAAAGCCCACGGCUCAACCGUGGAGGGUCAUUGGAAACUGGAAAACUUGAGUGCAGAAGAGGAAAGUGGAAUUCCAUGUGUAGCGGUGAAAUGCGCAGAGAUAUGGAGGAACACCAGUGGCGAAGGCGACUUUCUGGUCUGUAACUGACGCUGAUGUGCGAAAGCGUGGGGAUCAAACAGGAUUAGAUACCCUGGUAGUCCACGCCGUAAACGAUGAGUGCUAAGUGUUAGGGGGUUUCCGCCCCUUAGUGCUGCAGCUAACGCAUUAAGCACUCCGCCUGGGGAGUACGACCGCAAGGUUGAAACUCAAAGGAAUUGACGGGGACCCGCACAAGCGGUGGAGCAUGUGGUUUAAUUCGAAGCAACGCGAAGAACCUUACCAAAUCUUGACAUCCUUUGACAACUCUAGAGAUAGAGCCUUCCCCUUCGGGGGACAAAGUGACAGGUGGUGCAUGGUUGUCGUCAGCUCGUGUCGUGAGAUGUUGGGUUAAGUCCCGCAACGAGCGCAACCCUUAAGCUUAGUUGCCAUCAUUAAGUUGGGCACUCUAAGUUGACUGCCGGUGACAAACCGGAGGAAGGUGGGGAUGACGUCAAAUCAUCAUGCCCCUUAUGAUUUGGGCUACACACGUGCUACAAUGGACAAUACAAAGGGCAGCGAAACCGCGAGGUCAAGCAAAUCCCAUAAAGUUGUUCUCAGUUCGGAUUGUAGUCUGCAACUCGACUACAUGAAGCUGGAAUCGCUAGUAAUCGUAGAUCAGCAUGCUACGGUGAAUACGUUCCCGGGUCU